rnacentral:rRNA from 1 species
GGAAACGACUGCUAAUACCCAAUGUGCCGAAAGGUGAAAAUUUUUUGCCUUGAGAGGAGCUCGCGUCUGAUUAGCUAGUUGGUGGGGUAAAAGCUUACCAAGGCAACGAUCAGUAGCUGGUCUGAGAGGAUGAGCAGCCACACUGGGACUGAGACACGGCCCAGACUCCUACGGGAGGCAGCAGUGGGGAAUUUUCCGCAAUGGGCGAAAGCCUGACGGAGCAAUACCGCGUGAGGGAGGAAGGCCUUUGGGUUGUAAACCUCUUUUCUCAGUGAAGAAGUUCUGACGGUACCUGAGGAAUAAGCAUCGGCUAACUCCGUGCCAGCAGCCGCGGUAAUACGGAGGAUGCAAGCGUUAUCCGGAAUUAUUGGGCGUAAAGCGUCCGCAGGUGGCCAUGUAAGUCUGCUGUCAAAACCCAGGGCUCAACUCUGGUCAGGCGGUGGAAACUACGUAGCUAGAGUCUGGUAGGGGCAAAGGGAAUUCCCAGUGUGGCGGUGAAAUGCGUAGAGAUCGGGAAGAACAUCGGUGGCGAAAGCGCUUUGCUAGACCAGAACUGACACUCAGGGACGAAAGCUAGGGGAGCGAAUGGGAUUAGAUACCC